rnacentral:miRNA from 1 species
AUUUAAAUAUGGAACUAGCCAGAAAGUUCAUUCAGGUUUUUCCCCAAGGUGUUAUGAAACCUAAACGAACUUUUUGGCCAAUAAAA